AAAGAGCUGCUACAUGCGACCUCCGGGAGGUAUUCUUGUACCUGGGGAAAGUUUGAUUGCCACUGUCUUCAAGUUUAUUGAACAACCUGAGAACAAUGAGAAGCCUAUAGAUCAAAAGACCAAAGUAAAGUUCAAGAUCAUAAGUUUGAAGGUGAAAGAAGGAACUGAUUAUGUACCUGAGUUGUUUGAUGAACAAAAGGAUAAAGUCUGUAUUGAGCGUACUCUAAAGGUGGUGUUCUUGGACCCUGAACGCCCUUCUCCAGCACUGGAUAAACUAAAACGUCAGCUGGCCCAAGCUGAGGCUGCAACAGAAGCUGAGAAGAAACCUCCUGUUGACACAGGUCCGAAAGUUGUGGGAGAAGGCUUAAUAGUAGAUGAAUGGAAAGAGCGGAGGGAGAGGUAUCUUGCUCGCCAACAAGUUGAGGCAGUGGAUUCAGUAAAGCAGUAGAGAGUGUUUAUGUAAGUGCGUCUUUUUCCAGAAUAGCAAUGUAUAAUCAGAUAUGCACUUCUUAUUAUUGCCUUUCUUUGGAUUGAUGGUGUAGAAGGUUAAUGCAAUGCUUCAUGUAAAGAAGAACACUGAGUGGAGAUUUAAGAUUAUAUAAGAUUAGAAAUAAUUAUAUUCAGG
rnacentral:misc_RNA from 1 species